UAGUAUUCAAUUGUCAGAGGUGAAAUNCUUGGAUUUAUUGAAGACUAACUACUGCGAAAGCAUUUGCCAAGGAUGUUUUCAUUAAUCAAGAACGAAAGUUAGGGGAUCGAAGACGAUCAGAUACCGUCGUAGUCUUAACCAUAAACUAUGCCGACUAGGGAUCGGAUGAUGUUAAUCUUUUAAUGACUCA
rnacentral:rRNA from 1 species